rnacentral:rRNA from 1 species
GAUGAACGCUGGCGGCGUGCCUAAUACAUGCAAGUCGAGCGAACAGACGAGGAGCUUGCUCCUCUGACGUUAGCGGCGGACGGGUGAGUAACACGUGGAUAACCUACCUAUAAGACUGGGAUAACUUCGGGAAACCGGAGCUAAUACCGGAUAAUAUAUUGAACCGCAUGGUUCAAUAGUGAAAGACGGUUUUGCUGUCACUUAUAGAUGGAUCUGCGCCGCAUUAGCUAGUUGGUAAGGUAACGGCUUACGAAGGCAACGAUGCGUAGCCGACCUGAGAGGGUGAUCGCCCACACUGGAGCUGAGACGCGGUCCAGACUCCUGCGGGAGGCAGCAGUAGGGAAUCUUCCGCAGUGGUCGAGAGCUUUGCGGAGCAGCGCCGCGUGAGUUAUGAAGGUCUUCGGUUCGUAAUACUCUGUUAUUGGGUGAGAACAAAUGUGUAAGUUGCUAUGCACUUCUUGACGGUACCUAGUCAGAAAGCCACGGCUAACUACGUG